AAGGCUUAUGACCAGGUUGCCCAAGAUGUCUUGUGGGAGGUCCUCUGGAAGUAUGGGGUACCAGGGCUACUACUCCGGGCCAUUCGAUCUCUGUACUCCCAGAGUGAGAGCUGUAUUCGUAUACUCAGCAUUAAGUCGGACACUUUCAGUAUUAGCGUUGGGCUCCGGUAGGGUUGUGCCCUGUCUCCACUCCUGUUCGUGAUAUUCAUGGACAGGGUGUCAAGGCGUAGCCAAGGUCAGGAGGCCAUUAUGUGUGGAGGCUGGAGGGUGGCAUCUCUGCUGUUUGCAGAUGAUGUUGUUCUUUUGGCUGAAUCACAUGGUUGCCUCCAGCGCUCACUGGAGCGGUUUGCAGCUGAGUGUGAAGCGGUUGGUAUGCAGAUCAGCACCUCCAAAUCUGAGUCCAUGGUCUUAGCCUGGAAAAGGAUGGCAUGCCCACUCCAGGACUUGCCCCAGGUGGAGGAGUUUAAAUAUCUCGGGGUCUUGUUCACAAGUGAUGGGAAGAGGGAUCGUGAGAUCGGCCACAGGCUGGGACAGGCGGCAGCAGUAAUACGGUCACUGUACCAGACUGUAGUGGUGAAGAGGGAGCCGAGCCAUAAAGCAAAGCUCUCUGUUUACCGGUUGGUCUACAUCCCAACCCUCACCUAUGGUCAUGAGCUGUGGGUAAUGACCGAAAGAAUGAGAUCGCGAAUACAAGCGGCGGAAAUUAGCUUUCUUCGCAGGGUGGCGGUCUACACUCUAUUUGAUAGGGUGAAGAGCUUGGCCAUCUGGGAGGAGGUAGAGCUGCUACUCCUCCACAUUGAGAGGAGCCAGCUGAGGUGGUUCGGGCAUCUGAUUCGGAUGCCCCCUGGACGCCUCCCGGUGGGGAUGUACCAGGCACGGCCUACCGGGAUAAGGCCCCGGGGUCGUCCUAGGACCUGCUGGAGGGAUUGCAUCUCCAAGUUGGCCUGGGAGUGGCUUGGGGUCCCUGGGAAGCUGGGGAGCUGGAGGAAGCUGCAGGGGACAGGGUCAUAUGGGAUUCUCUGCUUUCCCAACUGCUACUGCGACCCUAUCUGGAUUAAGCGGUCAACAACGAUGAUGAUGAUGUCAACAACCAGUAGAACAAGUGAUAAUUUGUCAAAAACAUUGUAUUAAACCACCUAAUUCUUAAUUUUUUUCAUUGUCUUCCAGUAAAUCAGUCAAUGCAGUCUCAGAGUAUCCACAUAAAGAAAGAGUCAACUUUAGAUCUCUGCACAGUGCUUUGUUCAGUUACAAAUGGCCCAAAGGUCAAUCUGUCAUGGGUUAGAAACAGAGAUACAUUGAAACAAAGCAGUAAUCCUGAC
ensembl:lncRNA